UGAAAGUUGAAUUCAGAAGCUGCUGC
rnacentral:piRNA from 1 species